rnacentral:rRNA from 1 species
GACGAACCGAGCGAUCGUUAUUCGGAAUCACUGGGCUUAAAGGGCGCGUAGGCGGGCGGCCAAGUCAGGGGUGAAAGCCCCCAGCUCAACUGGGGAAGUGCCUCUGAUACUGGUCAUCUCGAGGGAGAUAGGGGCGUGCGGAACUUCCGGUGGAGCGGUGAAAUGCGUAGAUAUCGGAAGGAACACCGGUGGCGAAAGCGGCGCGCUGGAUCUCUUCUGACGCUGAGGCGCGAAAGCCAGGGGAGCGAACGGG